AAAUAAGAAGCAAAAUUUGCAUUUAGUUUCGACCUAAAUAUUUGAUAAUUAAAUAUCCUUAUUUU
rnacentral:tRNA from 1 species